GACGAACGCUGGCGGCGUGCCUAAUACAUGCAAGUCGAACGCAGUGGGGACGGGUGAGUAACACGUGGGUAACCUCCCAUCAGAGGGGAUAACACUUGGAAACAGGUGCUAAACCGAUACUGAUGGAUGGACCCGCGGUGCAUUAGCUAGUUGGGUAGGUAACGGCUCACCAAGGCCACGAUGCAUAGUCGACCUGGGAGUGUGGUCGGCCACACGUGGACUGAGAGCCGGCCCAGACCCCUACGGGAGGAAGCAGUAGGGAAUCUUCGGCAAUGGACGAAAGUCUGACCGAGCAACGCCGCGUGAGUGAAGAAGGUUUUCGGAUCGGAAAACGCUGUUGUUAGAGAAGCGGUAUCUAACCAGAAAGCCACGGCUAACUACGUGCCAGCAGCCGCGGUAAUAC
rnacentral:rRNA from 1 species